GAUGAACGCUAGCGGCAGGCUUAAUACAUGCAAGUCGAGGGACAGCACAGGUAGCAAUAAUGGGUGGUAACCGGCAAACGGGUGCGGAACACGUACACAACCUUCCUUUAAGUGGGGGAUAGCCCAGAGAAAUUGGGAUUAAUACUCCGUAAAAUAGUUGAAUGGCAUCAUUUGAUUAUAUAGCUACGGCGCUUAAUGAUGGGUGUGCGGCUGAUUAGAUAGUUGGCGGGGUACCGGCCCACCAAGUCUACGAUCAGUAGCUGAUGUGAGAGCAUGAUCUGCCACACGGGCACUGAGACACGGGCCAGACUCCUACGGGAGGCAGCAGUAAGGAAUAUUGGUCAAUGGACGCAAGUCUGAACCAGCCAUGCCGCGUGAAGGAUUAAGGUCCUCUGGAUUGUGAACUUCUUUUAUUUGGGACGAAAGAGGGCCUUUCUAGGUCAACUGACGGUACCAGAUGAAUAAGCACCGGCUAACUCCGUGCCAGCCGCCGCCGUAAAAC
rnacentral:rRNA from 1 species